CAGAACGGGUCACCCCAAGACCAUUUUACCCAAUCUUUUCCCUAACCAACCUAAUAUUAGAUCAUUAUUAUUAUUUUCCUCAUAGUUUGGUCACGUGAACUUGAAUUAGAUCACCAAUAAUAAUGCUCUAGCAGCAACUCCCUUCUCCUUUUCCCUCUCACGCACACAGUAACUUGGUCUAAUCCCUAACAGCAACUCCCUUCUCCGGCGGCCCAGAGCAGAUCUAUCCCCCUUGUACCGGCGGUCCUGUAGCAGUUCCAUUCCAUUAAAACCGGCGGCCUGUAGCAGUCUCCUCCGUACCCGCAGCAGCGCGCCAUAGCAGUUCCGAUCCCCUCCAUUGAAACCGGCGGUCCUGUAGCUGCAGUACUUAGCCCAUCUCAAAAACUUUUUGAGAAAUAGAGCUCAACCAGAAGGUUCUAGUGCAGAGGGUUAUACUCUUGAGGAAACAAUUACCUUUUGCUCUAGAUAUUUAGAUGGCGUAGAAACACUCUUCAAUCGACCACCUCGCAACGAUGAUGAUAAUGAAAAUGGAUCUAGUUAUUUGUUCAAUGCUUGUGUUCGGCCAGUUGGGGAGGUGAAAGUGAUUAAUUUGAACCAUAAGAGCAAGAUGCAAAUACAUCAUUAUGUGCUAACACAAUUUCAAGAGUUACUUCAACCAUUUGAAAGAGAAUUCUUAUCUCAGAAGCAAAGGGAAAAUCAUAGAAUUACUGUUACUAAUGAUUUACUGUUACUAAUGAUUUGGUGAUUAAAUGGAAGUUAGAGGAAUUUCCAGAUUGGUCAAAGUUGCAGGUUACCGAUUAAGAAAUUUUACCAACUAAAUGUAAAUGUUUAUACUUUGUAUUGAUUCAUCCACUUGAACAAUAUAUUUUACAUAGGUACCAAAUAUCAAUGAGGCCAAUCCCGAAGGAAGAUUGUUGAUAGCAUUGGCAUGUGGUCCAAGUCCAUAUGUUAGAAGAAUGAAGGGUCAUAUGAUUAAUGGUUUCAAGUUCAAGACAUGUGCUAGUAAAAGAACUCGUAAAACUCAAAAUAGUGGUGUCAUGGUGGAAGCCGAUGGAAAUAAGUACUAUGGAAGAUUAAUAGAUAUACUUGAAAUUGACUACCUUGGAUCCUAUAAAGUCGUGGUGUAUCGUUGUGAUUGGGUAGACAUAGUAACUAGGAUAGAAUAUAUUGGUUCUAGAACUCGAGUGAGCUUCUCAAAGUUGAUUCACACGGGCCGAUAUCUAACGGAUGAGCCGUUUAUUAUUUCUAGUCAAGCAACACCAGUUUUUUAUGUUAAAGAUUUAUCAAAAAAUGGUUGGAAUCAUGUAGUUGAAACUAAGCCUAGGGACUUGUUUGAAGUUUGAUGAAAUCAACUAUUCAUGUGUUUUUUUAGAUAUGAUAAUCUAUUUGAUCUCUCUUAGUGGUUGCUCUCCUAUGUUAAUUUUAUUUGAUCUUGUUUAUAUAUUUUUACUUUGCUUUUAAUUUAAUUCCUUGUCUAAUUUUAAUUUAUAAUUAUGACACAUUCUCAUCUUUUCGUUGUCACUGCAGUUUUCAUCAUCGUGAAAUCAUGAGAAAAAAUGAUGAGAUUAUUUCCCAAUUACAAAAAAGAAAUAAUGAGGUUACUUCCUAACUUUUGAAAAAAAAUGAAGAAGUUAAAGAAUUAAGAGCUCAAAAUCAAAAAAUUCUCACUCAACUUGCAUUAGUCUUAGAUCAAUUACAACAAAAUUAAAGGACAAGUAAA